rnacentral:tRNA from 1 species
GUCAGGAUGGCCGAGUGGUCUAAGGCGCCAGACUCAAGAUCUGGUCUCUGAAAGGAGUCGUGGGUUCGAACCCCACUCCUGACA